rnacentral:lncRNA from 1 species
AUAUCGGAGAAAUGGAUUUCUUCUGCUUCUUGCUCUGUUGAGCCUUCUUCCUCAUGUGGGUCCGCCAGUAGUUCUUGAUCUCGUUAUCGGUCCGACCAGGUAACUUUCUUGCAAUUCUCGACCAUCUAUACAUAAAUUGCAUGAUCUAUAUAUUUUAGUUAUUUAGUAAUAUUAAAUGGAGAAUAAUCGAAAGAGGGGUGAAAAGUGAAACCUGUUUCCCCAUUUCGAGUGGAGUUCAAGAACGAGUCGUUCUUCAUGAGAAGUCAUCUUGACUUUUUUUAGGCCCGGGUGAAGGUAGUUAACCCAACGGAGCCUGCAACUUUUUCCUGUUCUUUUCAGACCUAUUUACAAACAGAACAGAAUUUAAUUAAAUUUAUUUUAUUAUCGGCUCGUGCAUGGUGGGUAGUACCAUGCGCGUGGGCGUUGCACAAAAAAACAAGCAUACCUAUAUAGUGUCUCCCGCCAAACCCUUCAAACCUGAUACUUUUGCUAUGAAAUCCCAUCGGCGAUCGCCGAACAAGUUCACGUAAAGUACCAGCUGGGCAUCUUCCUCUUCUGUCCAUGGCCCUUUUCUUGCUUCUUCUUUAUUCUCCAUUUUUUACCUCUCUCUCUCUAGAUCUUCUUUCUCUCUCUCUCUCUAUAUAUACCUCUCUCUUUCUUGAUUGACUCUAGUAUACGGAGAUUAUGGAGCGUGUGCUACUCAUAUAUAUAUAGUAAUGAUUUCUCGGCCAAUACGGAAGGUUUACAGAAUAUACUGUUUCUUAAUUUGCAAGAGACUAAUUAAUAUAUGAGAAAAUUGGGUAUGAUAGAUACGUGACCAUGGAUCCUCGCCGUACAUUUUAUCUGCGAUUUGAUUAUUUGAUGAUUGAUGAUAGGACAAUAUGCCUAUACAACAUAUGUGAUGCAAAAGCCGCCCCACUACAAAGUAAGUGCUUUUUUUUCCCUUUCCUUCUUUUGGCUUUAGUUAUUUGAAUACUAGUGGAUGAUAUGUUGAUUUAACUUUCGCAACUUGCUAUCCAUUUUUUUUUCAGUUUUACCAUUUACCAUGCUUUUGUGGUGUUCCAUUUUCUUCGAUUAAUCGGGGCUUCGCUUAUCUAAUUCAUAAUAUAUUCGCGCGCGUGUCUCUGUGUGAUAGAAGAUAAUAAGGAUGAGCAUAUUCCCCAGUCUCAACUUGGAUUCGGUAGUUUCCAUUUUUGGUUGUUUCAGCUAAACCUUUUACCGAUUAACAUAUGGUACACUUAGUGGGAAAGUUUAUAAUUAUAAAUAGGGGUUAAGGUUAAAAAUUAAAUUAGUUUAAUGAAAAUUAAUUGUAGUUAGCCAUAUAGUUAUUAUUAGUUGUAAAAAAGGAUGAAUGUUCAUCUUUUCAAGAAUCAAUUAGUCUCUCUUUAGUUUUAUCCAGUAGAAUCUGCACUGUUGAUAUAUAUAUUUACGUAAUAACAACUAUC